rnacentral:tRNA from 1 species
GGGGUUGUAGCUCAGUGAUAGAGUGCUUGUCUAGCACAUAUGAGUCACUGAGUUCGAUUCUCAGCACCA